ACGUACACUCCUACGGGAGGCAGCAGUGAGGAAUAUUGGACAAUGGGUGGAAGCCUGAUCCAGCCAUCCCGCGUGCAGGAAGACGGCCCUAUGGGUUGUAAACUGCUUUUAUCUGGGGAUAAACCUACUUACGUGUAAGUAGCUGAAGGUACCAGAAGAAUAAGCACCGGCUAACUCCGUGCCAGCAGCCGCGGUAAUACGGAGGGUGCAAGCGUUAUCCGGAUUUAUUGGGUUUAAAGGGUCCGUAGGCGGACUGAUAAGUCAGUGGUGAAAUCCGACAGCUUAACUGUCGAACUGCCAUUGAUACUGUUAGUCUUGAGUAAGGUUGAAGUGGCUGGAAUAAGUAGUGUAGCGGUGAAAUGCAUAGAUAUUACUUAGAACACCAAUUGCGAAGGCAGGUCACUAAGUCUUAACUAACGCUGAUGGACGAAAGCGUGGGGAGCGAACAGGAUUAGAAACCCUGGUAGUCCCAUGA
rnacentral:rRNA from 1 species